GAAAAAUGUUAAAGCUUAUGAAUGGAGAAAUCCAAUAUAUCAGAGAAUCAGAAAGAUGCUAUUUCAUGAUUAUCCUUGACCUGCCAAUGACCCGCAAAGGUCCAAAGAGUGUUGGCUAGGAGCUUACAGCACACAGUAAGAGAAGAACCUGUAAUAUCUCUUAAAAUUGCAUGCUGGUGAGAUUCUGGUGAUGCCUCUGAUCCUUUAAUGGAACUUGACACAG
rnacentral:misc_RNA from 1 species